AGCGGCGAACGGGUGAGUAACACGUGAGCAACCUGCCCCUGACUCUGGGAUAAGCGGUGGAAACGCCGUCUAAUACCGGAUACGACCUUCCGCCUCAUGGUGGAGGGUGGAAAGUUUUUUCGGUCAGGGAUGGGCUCGCGGCCUAUCAGCUUGUUGGUGGGGUAACGGCCUACCAAGGCGAUUACGGGUAGCCGGCCUGAGAGGGCGACCGGCCACACUGGGACUGAGACACGGCCCAGACUCCUGCGGGAGGCAGCAGUGGGGAAUAUUGCGCAAUGGGCGAAAGCCUGACGCACCGACGCCGCGUGGGGGAUGACGGCCUUCGGGUUGUAAACCUCUUUUACCACCAACGCAGGCUCCGGGUUCUCUCGGGGUUGACGGUAGGUGGGGAAUAAGGACCGGCUAACUACGUGCCAGCAGCCGCGGUAAUACGUAGGGUCCGAGCGUUGUCCGGAAUUAUUGGGCGUAAAGAGCUCGUAGGCGGCGUGUCGCGUCUGCUGUGAAAGACCGGGGCUU
rnacentral:rRNA from 1 species